rnacentral:rRNA from 1 species
AACGAACGCUGGCGGCAUGCUUAACACAUGCAAGUCGAACGGUUUUAUGGUGCUUGCACCAUGGAAUAGUGGCAGACGGGUGAGUAACGCGUGGGAACGUACCUUAAGGUUCGGAAUAACUGUUGGAAACGGCAGCUAAUACUGGAUGUGCCCGAGAGGGGAAAGAUUUAUUGCCUUAAGAGCGGCCCGCGUUAGAUUAGGUAGUUGGUAGGGUAAAGGCCUACCAAGCCGAUGAUCUAUAGCUGGUUUGAGAAGAUGAUCAGCCACACUGGGACUGAGACACGGUCCAGACUCCUACGGGAGGCAGCAGUGGGGAAUUUUGGACAAUGGGGGCAACCCUGAUCCAGCAAUGCCGCGUGAGUGAAGAAGGCCUUCGGGUUGGUAAAGUACUCUUUUGUUCAGGGAAGAAACGGUAGAGAGCUAAUAUCUCUUGCUAAUGACGGUACCUGAAGAAUAAGACACCGGCUAACUACGUGCCAGCA